CACGGGGGAGCAAGCGUUGUUCGGAAUCACUGGGCGUAAAGGCGUGUAGGCGGUCAAGUAAGUGGGAUGUGAAAUCCUCGGCUCACCCGAGGACCUGCAUCCCAAACUGCUGGCUUGAGUAUGGGAGAGGAUGAGGGAAUUCCUGGUGUAGCGGUGAAAUGCGCAGAUAUCAGGAAGAACACCAAUGGCGAAGGCAGCUCUCUGGGACGGUACUGACGCUGAAGACGCGAAAGCGUGGGGAGCGAACAGG
rnacentral:rRNA from 1 species